AGUACGACAUCAUCCACAAUUAACUCGCAAGCAGCCAUUCUAUACGUUGAUGUCAUUGCUCCUCGGUGGAAGGGUACCGCACGUCACGUAUUGUGGAUUACACGUUGCACAGCACUGGCCUUAGGUAUAACCAUGACAGCGUACAGUACGCUGUUUGUAUAUAUGGGAUCCCUGAAUAGAGUGUUUCUGAUGGUAUACACAGGACUCACUUCGCCUUAUGUAGGAUUAUGUCUACUGGCUAUACUAUUCCCGUUUGUACACUCCAAGGGUGCAGGCGUGGCGACAAUAGCCACCGUUAUCUUCCAAAUAUGGCAUAUCACAAUAUCACUACGGAAUAGCACACCACCACCCAGGAUGCCAAUUUCCUUGGAGCACUGCCCUGGAAACGUCACGUUGUUUACUUCAACGCCAACGAUAUUCAACAUAAGCAGCUCGUUCGAAG